GAUGAACGCUAGCGGCAGGCUUAAUACAUGCAAGUCGAACGGUAAAUAUUAUAGCAAUAUAAUAUGAGAGUGACGUACGGGUGCGUAACACGUAUGCAACCUACCCUUUACAAGAGUAUAGCUCGGGGAAACUCGAAUUAACCCUUCAUAGUAUUAUUGAGUGGCAUCACUUGGUUAUUAAAAUCGCAAGAUGGUAAAGG
rnacentral:rRNA from 1 species